AAAAAAAAAGAAAACAUAAAAAGAGAAAAGAAAAAAGAAAAGAAAAUGAAAAUAAAAAAAAUGAAAAAAGAUUCAAUACGAGAAGUGACAUUUUUACAUGUAAUAUAUUUGUAUCAUUGUAUACGUAAGCAUGUAAAACUUGUUAAUACUUUUCUUCGUCAACUGGAAAUACAUGAACGUACGUAUUCUGGUUCAAACCAAGGAGAAUAUCUGGACUAAACAAGGUGUAUGACUCGUAAUUGUUCUCAAGAUCCCACGAUUCGUGUGAAACCCGCAUUUGGUUACGCAAAAAAAGCAUCUUGAGCGGAAAAAGAGGAGGAAAUAUGGGAGAGAAAUGGGGAAGAAAGGUGAAAAAAGGUAAGAAUAUUCUGAAGAUAACAGGAUAAAGAAAUGCAAAAGAACAUAUGCAAAUUCACAUGCAAGAACAUAUGCAUAAACAACUAAAUAUAUCUCUUUUCAUGAUAAGCGAACCUCAUCAUCAAUAAGAUGCCAAAUGAUAUUUAAGCCUAAUAUUAUUGAUAAUUUAAAAUAUAACAAUAGCAUAAUCCCUUAAUAACAGUAGGGAGUAGAUAUUGACAGGUGCACAUACUGAAAUCCUAAAAUAAAAAAGCAUUUGUCCACAUAAUUCGCAUUUCUAUGGAGAAGUCAAAGAUCAUAUUCACUUAUUUAUAAAAUAAUGGCAAAAGUACAUCCUUAUGUAAAUAAUUUACGUGGGAAUAUACGAGAAAUAAUAUUAUGACAUGCUAUAAACAGAAAAUGCAAUCACUAUCUUUAAGGCCUGCAAUUAAAUGCUGAAAUAAGAAUAAGAUUUGAUCUCAGUCAUAACAAACGAUAAGCAAGGGUACUUUACGUCUUUGUUGAUUAUAUUUUACUGAAUUCGAAUAUUCAAACGUGUAAAAUAAGUAUCCUUGCAUGACUGCACAAAAGAAAGUAUUCAAACGAUUUGUAUUGAUUGCUUUCAUAUAUCAUAUAAAUUAUAAAGUUUGACACAGAAGCAAUCCCUGUCAAAUAAUUGCAUCUAC